AUGGCCACGUCCACCUAUGACGUCUACAUGGUGGACACCCCGAAAGAAUAUGAAGGCACUCCCGGGAAGGAUAACGACAAACCCAGCGAUAAGCCUCUGAAACGCCGCAGACAGCGCCGCCGCUCCAAGGCACGUCAAAGCCAUACGAGCAGUAUAGACACUGGAGAAAACGACACCCCGAACAAUGCGGACAACCUCGACGACCCCGACACCGAUGAACAACCACAAAAUAACCACGAGGAGCAUCAGGACCAGCUCGAUCUCGAAUACCUCGACGACUCUGAAGACAGCAACUACCUCCCCCGCUGGAUCAAGAGCGGUGCAAACGAUAGCUAA
rnacentral:rRNA from 1 species